UACAGAGGUCUCAAGCGUUGUUCGGAUUCAUUGGGCGUAAAGGGUGCGUAGGUGGCGCCGUAAGUCGGGUGUGAAAUUUCGGAGCUUAACUCCGAAACUGCAUUCGAUACUGCGGUGCUUGAGGACUGGAGAGGAGACUGGAAUUCAUGGUGUAGCAGUGAAAUGCGUAGAGAUCAUGAGAAAGACCAGUGGCGAAGGCGGGUCUCUGGACAGUUCCUGACACUGAGGCACGAAGGCCAGGGGAGCAAACGGG
rnacentral:rRNA from 1 species